CCAGACUCCUACGGGAGGCAGCAGUGGGGGAUAUUGCACAAUGGGGGAAACCCUGAUGCAGCGACGCCGCGUGAGUGAAGAAGUAUUUCGGUAUGUAAAGCUCUAUCAGCAGGGAAGAAAAAAGACGGUACCUGACUAAGAAGCCCCGGCUAACUACGUGCCAGCAGCCGCGGUAAUACGUAGGGGGCAAGCGUUAUCCGGAUUUACUGGGUGUAAAGGGAGCGUAGACGGCAAUACAAGUCGGAAGUGAAAUACCCGGGCUUAACCUGGGAACUGCUUUGGAAACUGUGCAGCUAGAGUGCAGGAGAGGUAAGUGGAAUUCCUAGUGUAGCGGUGAAAUGCGUAGAUAUUAGGAGGAACACCAGUGGCGAAGGCGGCUUACUGGACUGUAACUGACGUUGAGGCUCGAAAGCGUGGGGAGCAAACAGGAUUAGAUACCCCAGUAGAA
rnacentral:rRNA from 1 species